rnacentral:rRNA from 1 species
GACGAACGCUGGCGGCGUGCUUAACACAUGCAAGUCGAACGGAAAGGCCCUGCUUUUGUGGGGUGCUCGAGUGGCGAACGGGUGAGUAACACGUGAGUAACCUGCCCUUGACUUUGGGAUAACUUCAGGAAACUGGGGCUAAUACCGGAUAGGAGCUCCUGCUGCAUGGUGGGGGUUGGAAAGUUUCGGCGGUUGGGGAUGGACUCGCGGCUUAUCAGCUUGUUGGUGGGGUAGUGGCUUACCAAGGCUUUGACGGGUAGCCGGCCUGAGAGGGUGACCGGCCACAUGGGGACUGAGAUACGGCCCAGACGCCUACGGGAGGCAGCAGUGGGGAAUAUGGCACAAUGGGCGGAAGCCUGAUGCAGAAACGCCGCGUGGGGGAGGAGGGCCUUCGGGUUGUAAACCGCUUUCGCCGGUGACGAAGCGUGAGUGGGGGUAAUGGGUAAAGAAGCACCGGCUAACUACGUG